AGCUUGCUCCUUUGACGUUAGCGGCGGACGGGUGAGUAACACGUGGGUAACCUACCUAUAAGACUGGGAUAACUUCGGGAAACCGGAGCUAAUACCGAUAAUAUUUCGAACCGCAUGGUUCGAUAGUGAAAGAUGGUUUUGCUAUCACUUAUAGAUGGACCCGCGCCGUAUUAGCUAGUUGGUAAGGUAACGGCUUACCAAGGCGACGAUACGUAGCCGACCUGAGAGGGUGAUCGGCCACACUGGAACUGAGACACGGUCCAGACUCCUACGGGAGGCAGCAGUAGGGAAUCUUCCGCAAUGGGCGAAAGCCUGACGGAGCAACGCCGCGUGAGUGAUGAAGGUCUUCGGAUCGUAAAACUCUGUUAUUAGGGAAGAACAUACGUGUAAGUAACUAUGCACGUCUUGACGGUACCUAAUCAGAAAGCCACGGCUAACUACGUGCCAGCAGCCGCGGUAAUACGUAGGUGGCAAGCGUUAUCCGGAAUUAUUGGGCGUAAAGCGCGCGUAGGCGGUUAAUUAAGUCUGAUGUGAAAGCCCACGGCUCAACCGUGGAGGGUCAUUGGAAACUGGAAAACUUGAGUGCAGAAGAGGAAAGUGGAAUUCCAUGUGUAGCGGUGAAAUGCGCAGAGAUAUGGAGGAACACCAGUGGCGAAGGCGACUUUCUGGUCUGUAACUGACGCUGAUGUGCGAAAGCGUGGGGAUCAAACAGGAUUAGAUACCCUGGUAGUCCACGCCGUAAACGAUGAGUGCUAAGUGUUAGGGGGUUUCCGCCCCUUAGUGCUGCAGCUAACGCAUUAAGCACUCCGCCUGGGGAGUACGACCGCAAGGUUGAAACUCAAAGGAAUUGACGGGGACCCGCACAAGCGGUGGAGCAUGUGGUUUAAUUUGAAGCAACGCGAAGAACCUUACCAAAUCUUGACAUCCUUUGACAACUCUAGAGAUAGAGCCUUCCCUUCGGGGGACAAAGUGACAGGUGGUGCAUGGUUGUCGUCAGCUCGUGUCGUGAGAUGUUGGGUUAAGUCCCGCAACGAGCGCAACCCUUAAGCUUAGUUGCCAUCAUUAAGUUGGGCACUCUAAGUUGACUGCCGGUGACAAACCGGAGGAAGGUGGGGAUGACGUCAAAUCAUCAUGCCCCUUAUGAUUUGGGCUACACACGUGCUACAAUGGACAAUACAAAGGGCAGCGAAACCGCGAGGUCAAGCAAAUCCCAUAAAGUUGUUCUCAGUUCGGAUUGUAGUCUGCAACUCGACUACAUGAAGCUGGAAUCGCUAGUAAUCGUAGAUCAGCAUGCUACGGUGAAUACGUUCCCGGGUCUUGUACACACCGCCCGUCACACCACGAGAGUUUGUAACACCCGA
rnacentral:rRNA from 1 species